ACCCCUUUGUCAGGCUGAGGAAGUACUUGCAGUUGGUCCUGGAUGGAAGGAAUAGUAAAGAAGCCAGAGGCUGGCCUGGUCCGCAAUGCAGGUGAUCCAGAGUAACUGACCACAAGAGCAGAUCCAGGAGGGGUUCAGUGGUGCAGUCACCCCCAGCUUUGUCUGUGUCAUACAUGCACAGUGAGCUGGACUGCCCCGUGCCCCUGGACAAGCCGCCCAGGCUCCGAUUGUCCCACCACCGAGCCUGGCUGGGGCCCCAUUCACCCCAGCCCCUGCUUCUGCCUCUGCCCCAUGCCCUCCUUCACCGCUAAGGCCUUGAUCUGCCCUCCCCAUGGGCCUUCCCCCUCCCCUGACCCCUUUCCCCACAGACUGACCUGCUGGGCAGACGGGGUGGGGGCGCGGGACAUGUGUGCUCAGCUCCCCCAAAUAAUUUUUGUCCCUCUGCCUAUGGGUGGCUUCUGCCACUGCAUGCACUCCUGGGCAAGUAUGGGGCAUGUGCCCUACAGAUCUGUGCAUGGGAUGAGGGUGGGCUGCCACUGUGAGCUUUGCCUUGGGCACUAAACUUUGUUGCUAUAGCACUGCCUGGGGCCUUUCCCAUUGUACUGCAUGGCUGCUUCACAAUGGGGAUAACAUGUACCCCUUUGACCAAAGGCUUACAAGCAUAUCUGCUGUGGGACUUAUGAUGACUUUCAGGUCCCUGGAAUCGUACAUGUUGAGAAUCCUCCUUUCUAGUUUACAGCAUAGAAGUCAGCAUCCAGAGUGGCUGAAGUUGUUUUUCAGCCUGUACGGGAGCAUUCAUCACUUUCAAUGACAGCUUGCCCCUUGUUUUGUACAUUUUGCAGAUGUUACUAGUUGGCUUGAAGGGGCAAGAAGCACGUGUUGAGAGCCAAUUUUUGCCAUUGGCUAUUUCAGAAGUUUGAAAAUUCUUGUUAAAAAAGCCUCGAGCCUUAAGAUAGCUUCAUCUUCUCUGAUCUAAAACAGUAAAGUAUUGCCUGCCAGCUCAGCUUUGGAAGGGACUCAAUUGCCCUCAAGGCAAGCAGAUUCCAGAAGAAGCCAACAUACUGUAUCAUCCAUAGGGCUACUCCCUGCCCUGAAUAAAUGCUCUGUGAGCAACUAAGAAUAAUACCUGUUUUGAGUGGAGCUCCAUGAAGAUUAAACAUGCAUAUUUACUGCCUGAAUUUGGGUACAGAAAACAAUAUGCUGAGGUGCAGGUAUCUUUCUUGCUUGCUCUUUUUCCACUGUUUCAUACUCAGUGGCCACGUCUACAUGAGAUGCUGACUGUGCAGUAGCUUGCUAAUACUGCUCAGUAGCUUGUUUCUACUGCACAGUAGCAUCGCAUGGCAUGAAGCAUGACGUGACACUACUGUGCAGUAAUAACAAGCUGCUGCUCAGUAUUACCAGCUACUGCGCAGUCAGCAUCACCAAAAAGCUGUUCAAGGACACUACUGCACAGUAAAACCAGUUACUGCACAGUCAUUUAGUACUUGUGUAUGCAAGUAUUAAAUGACUGCGCAGUAACAAGUGCGCAGUCAACAUCUUGUGUAGACGUGGCCAGUUAUUACAUGUUUCAGCACAGCCCAGUCAGCCCAUUUGUCAAACGAGACAGGGAUACCAGUGGUGCAUAAUGUCAGAAUGAUGUGUUUGGGAUCAGAAGGCUUUUUCUUUUCAUGUACUAAGUACCUCGUACAUUUGGCUGUAUUGAAAAAAAAAUGGGAUAUUGGUUCAGUCCAGUAUAAGUUCUGAUUCAGGAAAGCAUGUGCACGUGCUGAACUGGAGAUGAAUGUCAGUUGUGAUACUUGGGUUUGCUAAGUGCCUCAUUUCAAAAGCUCUCCAUGCUGUUUCCUCUUUGCCCCCUGAAUUCUACCUGCCACCUUCUCAGUCUGAUCUCAGCCUUGUCAAAACCUAUCAUCUCCUUAAAAAAAGAAGUUGCAGAAUAAUUAAUUUGUUGUGUGCACAUGUAUGUACAUGUGUGCCCAUGCACUAAUACACAGCUGAAAUUAAUAAAAAAUGCAACAUAUUUUAAUCAGAGAUAUAACAGGCCAGUACUAUGCCCUGGGCAUCCUGGAUCCCUGUCUUCUACCUCCCUUGGCAGCACAUGGGGCUAAUGCCCUGCUCACCUACUCAUCCUUACACUACUGAUUGUAAUAUACUCUUAGAAAGUUAUUUUAUGAGAAAAUAUGAGGAUGGGAGGGUUUCAGAGUAGAAGGAGAAAGCUUGGAUAAUUAACAUUAUAUAAGAUAUACCUUUAAAAAUGAAACCUUUAAUUCAUGGACAGCAAGUCAUAAUUUCCUCUUACAAUUUCCCUUAACAAAACACAGUUACAACAUAGAGGGAAUUACAGUUGUUGAAUGCAUUCCACAAGAAGGUUAUAUGAAGCCACUCACUGUUUGGUGAAGGGUUAGUAAACAUGUACUUUACAUUGAUUAAUAAAGUAACUAGGGAUGUAAAGAAAUCUCACAUUUGGCCAGCACCCAGAAAAACACAGCUUGCUCCCUAGCAAGUACAGCUAAGCCCCAUUGCUUCCUGGAAGUGCAUCUGACUGGAUGGAUUUUUUUGUCCCUUGAGGAGCAGAAUAUGAUAUUUUGAAAGAAGAAAGGAAACAUUUGACACCUCAGCUCCUUUUGGUGCUUUGAACCCACCGCUGCAAAGCAGAGGGGUGGGUAGCCACAUUAGUUUGAAGUCAGGCAGAAGGUGUGGCAGGGUGCCACUUUAAAGACUAACUAGUUCAGAGGCACGACUUCAUCACAGGUUAGGAAUUUACUUCCAUAUCAGAAAUCUCCUUUUCAUCUUCCUUGCCCCCUGGAUUUUCCCCAGUGUGGCAACACAAUGCUGCCAGAGUGGUAGGUGAGGUUUUUGGCUCUAUAUCCUUAGGUGAGUUUGGGAAAACAGGGCCAUGAUAAUUUUGGUUAAAAGCCAAAAGUAUGAUUUGGAUCAAAGCUGUGUACACAUUUCUCCACACAGUUCUAUCAAUGUACCUAAUUUCUGGAUUUCAGUUAGUACUGUUUUAACACCAAGUUAGUGUUGAGUUUAAAAUCAAAACUGUCAAUAAUAAGCUAUGGUCUACACACAAAUAAUAUCAAGGGGACUAUCAAACUCAUGUAAUCCUUGCUUAAAUCUAGAUCCAAACAGAGGUUACCAACUAAAUCCACAUGCAUGCACUGCAGAAAGUAUUGUGCACAGAAGUUUAACCUUUUGUUUUAGUUCAGUAAAUAUCUUUUACCAGCAUACUGUAGAUUGCAAACAUUGACAUGUAUUUUGUUGCCAGCAAUGAGUAAUCUGGUAUGCAGUCUGACUGUUUUCCCCCUUUAUUAACAAACAGGCCUAACAAAAAAUUGGAGCACUGCUUAAUGCAGUUAAUUUUACGAUUUCUUUGUCAGCUAGGCAUUUUUAUUUUUCUUGGGAUGGAAAGAAGUUACCCUGUGCUAGGUAUCAGACAGUCUAUUACCUGCUGGAACAAAUGCAGUCUUCUUCAUUAUGUUUUUUUGGAGAUUUCUGAAACCCUUUUUCAAAAAGGGUUUUUGGAAACCCCCCCUUUUUUAAUGCAAAGUUUAUUAAACUCAAUGUUGUUGCUUU